UACUGAGAUUUCAUUCAUCAUUCUAUCUUUCUUCUUUCUUCACCAUAGCAAUCCUCAUUCUACAAACACAAACCAUUAUCACUGUCACCUCCGCCCGAAGCCACCAUCACAUCCGCCACCUCCUCCUCCUCCUUGUUCCCCACCUUCGCGGACCACAUUCGCAUCCUCCUCCUCCUUGUUCCUCAACCAAAAAUCUAGAUUCGUGAAUGGAGAUGACGCUGGUGAGACUGGAGAUGACGACGACAAAGGUCUCAAACAAACGUAAAUAGGCAUACGAAUCUGGGAGGAGGCACGGAAGCUGCAGAUGACGACGUCUCCGGUCAAGGCUGGAAGAGGAGGAGGCGCAAGGCUCAUGAAGGAGGCGAGGCGGCAGCUGCGUCGAAGGAGGCGCACGGAAGCUGUAGUGGGGGAGACCCUGAGGCUGGAAGCAGAGACGACGGCGUCUCCGGUCAAGGAUGGAGAAGGCCAGGCGCAUUGG